CUGCCGAUCAAAUUUCGCAGAUCUGAGUGAUUUCAAAGUGAUUGAGCCGAUCGAGUUAAACUGCGAUUUUCCUAUUUGAUCGCGUGGAUUUGAUCGCACUGCUCCAAAGCUUCCUUAGGUGGUCCUCUUCACAAAUCCAAGCUCAAUUCCAAACUGCGGCACAUCGCUCCUCUUCCUCUGCUGCUUCUUGUGCUUGUUUUUGGCAAAAUUAAGCUCCAAUUCGGACGACGGAUCAAGAGAGAUCACCAUCGAUACUGGUGAUUGCGGAAUUAGCAAAAAGUGGUGAGAUUCAAGCUACUGUCCUGUUGCAUCCUUUACUCGAGGUGAUGUUAUAGUGAGCUUCUUUAGCAAUAUGAAAAGAUAUAGAUAGAUUUUAUCCCAAAUACACUCAGAAGGAUUGGAUAUUAAUCAUGCCAACAAAAUAAUUGGUAGGUCUGCCAUUUUUAUUGUCUAGUUUCUUUAGUAGAUUAAAUAGUUGGAUUUUAAUAGUAGACUAAAAUUCAUUAUUAUUUGUAUUCUUAUCGAGUAACUAAGAUAACUAUCUGCUUCUGAGCUUCUAAUAUCUUUCUUUCCUAAUGAAUCCUCUCUUGUAAAUUUGUAAUGGUGCUUAUUCAUUUGAUCCUUUAAUUUUUCCAAAUUUGUUAUCGACAUUUGUAGACGUUUAAAUGAGAGGAAAUCGUACUUGGUUUGGAACGCUGUAGGUUGUCUUGGAGUUUCUAUGGUCAGUGAUCUUGUCAGAGAGGUAUCUAUAUAAACACAUAUCUUUAUUUGAUUGCACUGUUGUUUCACCAUAUAUUUCAGUAAGUUAUAUCUAGAUUUAAAGUGAUUUUUACUCAAGUAUUCGCCUCUUCUAAUGUCCAUAUUGUUUACCUUAACAUGGAUGAUUACAAGCCCACUUAAAUUAACAUUACCAGCUAAACCUUUAUUUUGGAGUUGGAUUCUGUGUAGCACAUAAGCUUGUGACAUGUUGUAGUGAUAUUUUGUUGGUAAGUUUGUUAUUGUUUAUAUUUACCUAUCGUAUGUGGUUGUAGUUAUUCUUGUUUCAAAUAUGGUUGCAUGGCUUCUUAGUGCAUUUAAGGUGCUUACAGUCAAUUUCAGACACUGGUUUGCUACAAAUGGCUUACGAAUUUGACUCUUUUAGUAGAUUUGUUACCUUUGCUUUUGACUCAGUAACAUUAUGUUGUUACUAGAUGUGUCAAGAACUUAACAUCGAUGGUUAAAUUUGAAGGCAGAAUGAGGUUGGAAUUUUUUUACUUUUGUCACUGUUCGGUUGUUUUGUUCUUCUGUAUAUUGACUCAUACAUACUCUUUGGUAUUAGUUGUAUGUGAAGAAAUUCAAGAAAGCUAACUUUUGAGAUGACUUUUGAAGUAGAA